GUUGAAACACUGAUUCCCGUACGAUCAGCGAAGUUAAGCAAUGUUGAGCCUGGUCAAUACCUAGAUGUGUGACCACUUGGGAAUAUCAGAUGUU